rnacentral:rRNA from 1 species
AGUGGCGGACGGGUGAGUAACGCGUGAGAAUCUGCCUUGGGGUCGGGGACAACCACUGGAAACGGUGGCUAAUACCGGAUAAGCCGAUUGGUGAAAGAUUCAUUGCCCGAAGAGGAGCUCGCGUCUGAUUAGCUAGUUGGUGAGGUAAGAGCUCACCAAGGCAGCGAUCAGUAGCUGGUCUGAGAGGACGAUCAGCCACACUGGGACUGAGACACGGCCCAGACUCCUACGGGAGGCAGCAGUGGGGAAUUUUCCGCAAUGGGCGAAAGCCUGACGGAGCAAGACCGCGUGAGGGAGGAAGGCUCUUGGGUUGUAAACCUCUUUUCUCAGGGAAGAAGCUCUGACGGUACCUGAGGAAUCAGCCUCGGCUAACUCCGUGCCAGCAGCCGCGGUAAUACGGAGGAGGCAAGCGUUAUCCGGAAUUAUUGGGCGUAAAGCGUCCGCAGGUGGCGAUUCAAGUCUGCUGUCAAAGCACGGGGCUUAACUCCGUAAAGGCAGUGGAAACUGAAUAGCUAGAGUGCCGUAGGGGUAGAGGGAAUUCCCGGUGUAGCGGUGAAACGCGUAGAGAUCGGGAAGAACAUCGGUGGCGAAAGCGCUCUACUGGACGGCAACUGACACUCAGGGACGAAAGCUAGGGGAGCGAAUGGGAUUAGAUACCCC